rnacentral:rRNA from 1 species
AUACGAAGGGCCCGAGCGUUAAUCGGAAUCACUGGGCUUAAAGCGUACGUAGGCGGACGCGCAGGCAUCUUGUGAAAUCCCUCGGCUCAACCGAGGAACUGCUUGGUGAACCGCGUGUCUUGAGGCAAGUAGGGGCUGUCGGAACGAUAGGUGGAGUGGUGAAAUGCGUUGAUAUCUAUCGGAACGCCGAAGGAGAAAUCAGGCAGCUGGGCUUGUUCUGACGCUGAGGUACGAAAGCGUGGGGAGCGAACGGGAUUAGAAACCCCAGUAGUCC